rnacentral:rRNA from 1 species
UACGUAGGGUGCAAGCGUUAAUCGGAAUUACUGGGCGUAAAGCGUGCGCAGGCGGCUUUGCAAGACAGAUGUGAAAUCCCCGGGCUCAACCUGGGAACUGCAUUUGUGACUGCACGGCUGGAGUGCGGCAGAGGGGAUGGAAUUCCGCGUGUAGCAGUGAAAUGCGUAGAUAUGCGGAGGAACACCGAUGGCGAAGGCAAUCCCCUGGGCCUGCACUGACGCUCAUGCACGAAAGCGUGGGGAGCAAACGGG